GGCCGUGUGGCGUAAUGGCAACGCGUCUGACUACGAAUCAGGAGAUUGCAGGUUCGACCCCUGUCUUGGUCA
rnacentral:tRNA from 1 species